UUUUGGAGGAGCUUAACAUUUUAUUAAGUCGCAGUUGCCAUGAAUAUUGGGAGGAACGGCUUCGGACAGAAAGAAGAGAGAGGAUGAAGCAGGCAAAGGAGCACUGGGAAUCCAAAUGUCGAGCUUUCGUUGGAGUCUGAUUGAAAUUUGAGAUGGCAAAUACAACCUUAGUUCUGUAUUGCAACUGUCUUUCUUAGCAUCUCUCAGUCUCCAGGAGGAGUCAUGAGCAGAGUUAAGUUCUUAGGAUUCAUUUGAAAAUUUCUGCCUCCUUUCUUCUUCUGCCCUUUUUUUGUCCCUUAAUGUAGUUUGUUCAUAUUUUUUUCUGGAUUUUGUCUUUGUAUAUAUAAUUCUCCAUGUUUGGCUC